AACGCGAAGAACCUUACCUGGAUUUGACAUGCUUUUGAAUAUAUCUAGAGAUAGAAAUAGACUCGCAAGAGACAGAAGACACAGGUGCUGCAUGGCUGUCGUCAGCUCGUGUUGUGAAAUGUUGGGUUAAGUCCCGCAACGAGCGCAACCCCUGUUUUUGGUUGCCAUCAUUAAGUUGGGCACUCCAAAGAGACUGCCGUCGUUAAGACGGAGGAAGGUGGGGAUGACGUCAAGUCCUCAUGGCCUUUAUAUCCAGGGCGACACACGUGAUACAAUGGUAGGUACAGAGGGUAGCGAAGCCGCGAGGUGAAGCAAAUCUCAAAAAGCCUAUCUCAGUUCGGAUUGGAGUCUGCAACUCGACUCCAUGAAGUUGGAAUCGCUAGUAAUCGCGGAUCAGCACGCCGCGGUGAAUACGUUCCCGGGCCUUGUACACACCGCUAGUC
rnacentral:rRNA from 1 species